CUGCAGCUUAUUAAGCCGAUCGGUCCACUGAAGUGUGGUUCCGGUGGUCAUUGCAAAGGCUGCAGACGAGUGAAUCUUGGUUGUUGUGUUAUGUCUCAUUCUGGACGGUGCUGAAGUGCUUUAAAGGGACACUGAGGACAGUU